GCCUUCUUAGCUCAGUGGUAGAGCGUUGCACUUGUACAUGACGUUAUACAAUGCAAAGGUCAGUCGUUCAAUCCGGCUAGGAGGCA